rnacentral:rRNA from 1 species
UACGUAGGGAGCGAGCGUUGUCCGGAUUUACUGGGUGUAAAGGGUGCGUAGGCGGCUCUGCAAGUCAGGUGUGAAACCCAUCGGCUUAACUGAUGGACUGCAUUUGAAACUGUAGGGCUUGAGUGGAGUAGAGGCAGACGGAAUUCCCGGUGUAGCGGUGAAAUGCGUAGAGAUCGGGAGGAACACCAGUGGCGAAGGCGGUCUGCUGGGCUUUAACUGACGCUGAGGCACGAAAGCAUGGGUAGCAAACAGG